rnacentral:rRNA from 1 species
AGAGUUUGAUCAUGGCUCAGGAUGAACGCUAGCUACAGGCUUAACACAUGCAAGUCGAGGGGAAACGACAUCGAAAGCUUGCUUUUGAUGGGCGUCGACCGGCGCACGGGUGAGUAACGCGUAUCCAACCUGCCCACCACUUGGGGAUAACCUUGCGAAAGUAAGACUAAUACCCAAUGACGUCUCUAGAAGACAUCUGAAAGAGAUUAAAGAUUUAUCGGUGAUGGAUGGGGAUGCGUCUGAUUAGCUUGGUUGGCGGGGUAACGGCCACCAAGGCUACGAUCAGUAGGGGUUCUGAGAGGAAGGUCCCCCANAUUGGAACUGAGACACGGUCCAAACGUCCUACGGGAGGCAA